GCGGAAAGGUGUAUUCCCUGAUUACGGAUCAGGAGGCUAGGGGUUCGAAUCCUCUCAGGCGUA
rnacentral:tRNA from 1 species